CCUACGGUGUGCAGCAGUGGGGAAUAUUGCACAAUGGGGGGAACCCUGAUGCAGCAAUGCCGCGUGGGUGAAGAAGCACUCCGGUGCGUAAAGCCCUGUCAGCAGGGAAGAAAAUGACAGUACCUGGACAAGAAGCCCCGGCUAACUACGUGCCAGCAGCCGCGGUAAUACGUAGGGGGCAAGCGUUAGCCGGAUUUACUGGGUGUAAAGGGAGCGUAGACGGUUAUGUAAGUCUGGAGUGAAAGCCCGGGGCCCAACCCCGGGACUGCUUUGGAAACUGUGUAACUGGAGUACAGGAGGGGCAGGCGGAAUUCCUGGUGUAGCGGUGAAAUGCGUAGAUAUCAGGAGGAACACCGGAGGCGAAGGCGGCCUGCUGGACUGAAACUGACGUUGAGGCUCGAAAGCGUGGGGAGCAAACAGGAUUAGAUACCCUUGUAGUC
rnacentral:rRNA from 1 species